AUUUUGAUAUAACCUAUGAUUGAUUUGUUUGUUGUAGGGAAUUGAAAGUGAAAUCAAACGAUAUAGGAACGAUUAAACCUUACCAAGACUUUUCUGAUAUUCAUUCCGAUGCGUAAGGCUGAGGUCGGUUAUGAGCAAUCUUUGACAGCCAUGGAGCGUUCUGGAAUUGAUUAGAUGCCGACCUUUUUGCUUAUAUAGGUCGGACUGCAGGGCAAAACGAUGGUUGUUUUGCUGAUAUCACCUUGAUUGAUUUUGAGAGAACAUUAACAUUAAUGGUAGAUGAAUAUGCAAGUGUUGAACAGCUGGAUGUCGAGAAUGAAUUGGAUAUUCAAAUAAUCUCCAUACAGAUUCAUGAGGAGUUAGAUAACGACAAUUAAGAUAAGUUGCAAUUUCAUCAUUUCCAUUUUCAGAUAAUAGAAGUCGUGCUCGGUCUGGACCUUUAUUGAUAUAUUUAAACAAAUAUUUAAUUAGCAUAGAUUGAGAGCAUAAUUCAACAUUAAUAUGAGCAUUAUAUCUCAAUAAUAAAUUUGAAUUAUAAGGUACAACAAAAUUAUUUCCAACACGUACAUUAUUUUUUACUGUAAAUUUAGUACAAUCAUCACGACGUC